UAGAAAACAUCGGACUGACAGGAUGAAGUAUUUACGACUGUUCACGCUUUGCUUAGGCGUCUUAGUAUUCGUGCUUUUGAGCCCGACUGGUGUUGGAGGUAACAGCAACUGCUGCAUACAGCUCAGCAUUCCCUCAGAAUGCCAUUUUCUAUGUGGGAUUGGAAGUCAGUCAUUCUGGUCAGUAACAAGGUGGAAAUGUAAUCACAAGUACUUCGCAAAGGUUGCCACCUGCGAUGUCAAGAAUAAAAUAAGUAAGUGAGGCAAGCAA